rnacentral:rRNA from 1 species
CCUGCAUGAAGUCGGAAUUGCUAGUAAUCGCAGAUCAGCAUGCUGCGGUGAAUACGUUCCCGGGCCUUGUACACACCGCCCGUCACACCAUGGGAGUCGGUAACACCCGAAGUCGGUAGCCUAACCGUAAGGAGGGCGCCGCCGAAGGUGGGAUUGAUGACUGGGGUGAAGUCGUAACAAGGUAGC